ACCAAAAAAAAAAGUCGCAGUUUCGCCCGAAAGGCGAACCAUCGAUUGCAAUAGCAAAUGCGUAGAUAGCUGUACGAAGUGAGGACAGUAGUUUUAUUGGAAAACGACCUCAUAAACUAGUAAACG
rnacentral:lncRNA from 1 species